AUACUUACCUGGCAGGGGAGAUACCAUGACCACGAAGGUGGUUUCCCCAGGGCGAGGCUUAUCCAUUGCACUGCGGAUGUGCUGACCCCUGCGAUUUCCCCAAAUAAAAAGAAAAAAGAAAAGAAAAACAAAAGUCUGGGCCUCUGGGAGGAAAACUCCAGAUUAAACC